CAUACUAAUCAGAAAUAUGUUUUUUCCGGUGUAGGAAUCAGAGAAACGACGCCGUCUUGCUGACAGCAUUUUAAUAUCUAACAGAAGCAGCCACCGUUAGACGCGGUUGAGUGAGAUCUACUUCGGAUUACGGAAUCUAUUGCGACAACCUGGACGACCUCUCAGUCAAUCGGCUAAAUGACAACGUAGUGUUUACAGAACGAGACAAGCUGAGUUUAGAAGAUUAGUGAACAUCAACUCACGAACAACAACUUGAACGUUUCAGAGCCUCGGAAACGUUGUUUGGAUACAGUUAAAUCCGAACUUCAAGUAAAGGUCUAUCCGCUUGUGUCUCUGAUUAGUCAAUUGGCCAUAUAGUACAGUGGUACAGUGCCGUGUGGUGGCCGGCCGGAAAGAAUAGCACCACCCCAUCCCCUCGUGGGUGUCGUAAGAGGCGACUAAGAGACCUGAGACUGUACAACUUAAACACAGCUCAGAUAAAAUACGUGGCGAUGCCGUGGGAGGAAACUGAUUUUGAUCUCGUCACCUGGCUGUAACAAAAGUAAACUAAUAACAUUGCCAGUGAAACCUGUAAACGUAGCUUGAUUGAGUGACCCGCAGCUGACAAGAAGAGAGGAAAGUAAACGGAGUGGGGAGGGAAGGGAAGGAGAAGAGAAAGAAUAGAGCAAAGGAUAUUACAAGCUGGAGAAGAUUUCGAUGCCACAUCGAAGUAUUUGAUUGUGUAAGGGAAGCGAGAUGGAGAUUAAAUCAGACGAAAAUACAACUAUUAAAAUGAAAGAGGCUACCUAACCCAUUCAAAAUAUAGAUUGGAAACUGAACCCAUACGAGCAGAAGAAGAAAACAGUUCCUUCUUAAUGAGACAAGCCCGCCACGACCUCCCGAAACAGCUCCAACUCCUGUAAGCCAGGAUCUACAGUAGCUACAACCAUAAA